rnacentral:lncRNA from 1 species
GUGAAGAAACGAGAGGUGCAAGUAAACUGGAAAGGAAGCUGAGGAAAACCCAAGCGCUAGACGAAAAAGGGCACUGCAUUCGAAGUCAGAAGACUGAGGCCACAGUCUCUGACCAUAACCCAGCUCUGUCACUAACCAGUCACCCGGCCUUGGAUGUCAAUUCCCCCAGCCUUGCCUAUAAAGUGGAUGUUAAUCUACUCCAUCUAGCCUUUGGAAAAGAAUUAAAUGAUU